GACGAACGCUGGCGGCGUGCCUAAUACAUGCAAGUAGAACGCACAGUUUAUACCGUAGCUUGCUACACCAUACACUGUGAGUUGCGAACGGGUGAGUAACGCGUAGGUAACCUGCCUGGUAGCGGGGGAUAACUAUUGGAAACGAUAGCUAAUACCGCAUAAUAUUGAUUAUUGCAUGAUAAUUGAUUGAAAGAUGCUAUUGCAUCACUACCAGAUGGACCUGCGUUGUAUUAGCUAGUAGGUGAGGUAACGGCUCACCUAGGCGACGAUACAUAGCCGACCUGAGAGGGUGAUCGGCCACACUGGGACUGAGACACGGCCCAGACUCCUACGGGAGGCAGCAGUAGGGAAUCUUCGGCAAUGGACGAAAGUCUGACCGAGCAACGCCGCGUGAGUGAAGAAGGUUUUCGAAUCGUAAAGCUCUGUUGUAAGAGAAGAACGGGUGUGAGAGUGGAAAGUUCACACUGUGACGGUAUCUUACCAGAAAGGGACGGCUAACUACGUG
rnacentral:rRNA from 1 species